AGGGUGAGUGAAGCAGGGUUUUAUUGGAUGAAAAGAAAGAAAAGAGGGAAACAGGGAAGCUAGAGCGCUUCCUGCCCAGCAGUUUGAAUUCUAUGUUCCUCACAGGAAGAGGAGGGGCCAGGCUCCUCCCCACUGCAAAGGACACGAACUUCCUAAGGCUUCACCUCAGUGGGCAGGCCGGUUGGAGUUUUUCUGUCUCAAUAGUAGGAUAUCAAAUAAAACAUAUUCAUGUCUGUGCAUGAACUCUAAACUAAACUCAAAUAGACUUGAAAAUUUGAGAAACUUUUUUAUUAGUAUAAAUAUGUUUGGUCCAUUAUUAAUUUUGUCGUAGCCUCUUGUAAUUAGCUAAGUUUCAUAUAUAUAGUCUUGAAAAUGUAGACGGCAUUUAUCUUUAUGCUUAAAUGUCUAAAUAUGAUUAGAACAAAAAAUUACUUUUACCAUUACCUUUUGUUUAUGUUUCAAUAAUUCUUAACAUGAAAUUGCCAUGUAUAAUUUAUUACAUUGUAUUGUGACUGUAAUCACCUAACAGGCAUGAAAAAAUAUAAUACAAGUCAAGUUC
rnacentral:lncRNA from 10 species